GACGAACGCUGGCGGCGUGCUUAACACAUGCAAGUCGAACGGAAAGGCCCUGCUUUUGUGGGGUGCUCGAGUGGCGAACGGGUGAGUAACACGUGAGUAACCUGCCCUUGACUUUGGGAUAACUUCAGGAAACUGGGGCUAAUACCGGAUAGGAGCUCCUGCUGCAUGGUGGGGGUUGGAAAGUUUCGGCGGUUGGGGAUGGACUAGCGGCUUAUCAGCUUGUUGGUGGGGUAGUGGCUUACCAAGGCUUUGACGGGUAGCCGGCCUGGGAGGGUGACCGGCCACAGUGGGACUGAGAUGCGGCCCAGACUCGUACGGGAGGCAACGGUGGGGAGUAGUGCACUAUGGACGGAAGCCUGAUGCAGCAACGCCGCGUGCGGGAUGACGUCCUUCGGUUAGUAAACCGCUUUCGCCUGUGACGAAGCGUUAGUGACGGUAAUGGGUAAAGAAGCACCGGCUAACUACGUG
rnacentral:rRNA from 1 species